UGCGCAGGCGGAUUAAUAAGUCGGGGGGUUAAAUCCAUGUGCUUAACACAUGCACGGCUUCCGAUACUGUUGAUCUAGAGUCUCGAAGAGGAAGGUGGAAUUUCCGGUGUAACGGUGGAAUGUGUAGAUAUCGGAAAGAACACCAGUGGCGAAGGCAGCCUUCUGGUCGAGUACUGACGCUCAUGCACGAAAGCGUGGGGAGCAAACAG
rnacentral:rRNA from 1 species